rnacentral:rRNA from 1 species
UGGGGAAUAUUGCACAAUGGGCGCAAGCCUGAUGCAGCCAUGCCGCGUGUAUGAAGAAGGCCUUCGGGUUGUAAAGUACUUUCAGCGGGGAGGAAGGCGAUGUGGUUAAUAACCGCGUCGAUUGACGUUACCCGCAGAAGAAGCACCGGCUAACUCCGUGCCAGCAGCCGCGGUAAUACGGAGGGUGCAAGCGUUAAUCGGAAUUACUGGGCGUAAAGCGCACGCAGGCGGUCUGGCAAGUCGGAUGUGAAAUCCCCGGGCUCAACCUGGGAACUGCAUCCGAAACUGGCAGGCUUGAGUCUCGUAGAGGGGGGUAGAAUUCCAGGUGUAGCGGUGAAAUGCGUAGAGAUCUGGAGGAAUACCGGUGGCGAAGGCGGCCCCCUGGACGAAGACUGACGCUCAGGUGCGAAAGCGUGGGGAGCAAACA